rnacentral:rRNA from 1 species
UCGAGAUUGGAGUAAAGUCGUAACAAGGUUUCCGUAGGUGAACCUGCGGAAGGAUCAUUAUCGAAUGUGAAUGUUGGAUCGACUGUUGCUGGCUCAGUUUUGACUACUGAAGCAUGUGCACGUCUACCAUUUUAUCUACACACCUGUGCACCUACUGUAGGUCCUUGAAAGAGGAUGCUAUGUAUUUUGAUAACCUUUACAUGUAUGGAAUGGGGAUAUAUAUUGGAUAUAUACAACUUUCAGCAACGGAUCUCUUGGCUCUCGCAUCGAUGAAGAACGCAGCGAAUUGCGAUAAGUAAUGUGAAUUGCAGAUUUUCAGUGAAUCAUCGAAUCUUUGAACGCACCUUGCGCUCCUUGGUAUUCCAAGGAGCAUGCCUGUUUGAGUGUCAUUAAAUCAUCAACCAUGUCUAUUAGACAUUGGCUUGGAGUUGGGAAUUGCUGGCUCGUUCAGCUGUCCUGAAAUGCAUGCUAAUUGGACGUGUACACGGCUUGCGACGUGAUAAUGAUCGUUGUGGCUGGAGCACCAAACCAAUGUAGGGAUUUUGACCUCAAAUCAGGUAGGACUACCCGCUGAACUUAAGCAUAUCAAUAAGCGGAGGA